AGGGAGAUGCUCUGAGAGCUGGGCUGUCCGGUGAGCGUCCACCAGGGCUGAAUUUAAGGAUCUCCUUGCACAGGUUUUUCUAAAACUAAACAUGAAGCUUGCAGUCUUCCAAGGGAUUGUGGUUGAGGAAAAGCAGGUGGUGGUGGUGGUUUUUGUGUGUUUUUUUUUAGAUCAAUUCUGAAUUAAAAAGUCUAAGAUUUCCUAGAGUAAUUUGGAAGUUUCUGCUUAGCAGGUUAUUGCGAAGGAUUUAGGACACAGGUGAUGUCAGUCCAUUCUCCUGGUGUACAGUAAGCUGUAAUUGCUGUGAUGUUAAGUAUUUAUUUAAAAAUAUAUAUCAAAAUUUGGUGUGUUCUGGAGAGUUUUACUUGUUUUGACUUCCAUCGUGUUAUCGUGGGGUAGAUAGAUGUUCACUAGAUUCCUGUAAAUAAAAUAAGGGUAAAGGGGGUGGCGGGGGUGGGAAAUCAAGGUGUCUUUUCUUCCAAGUCAUCCGUUAUCAACAGGGGAACAAACGAAAUAGUCUAUGACAGAUGUAAUGUUGAACUCUGUCAUAAGCUGCCUGAUUGUUUGUCAGCAUAGCUUCAGUUUGCUGUAGAAAAUGGUUGAACAAUUCCGUGUGUCUGUGGCAUUUAAGACACUGGCACGUUAAUUCUGUGUGCUGCUAGGAGCAAAUAUUGCCUGCAGCAGAGCAAAAAGUCUCAUGGCUUGCCCUCUGCAGAGCUGUCAGAGUGCCUAGAGGAAGGAAGGCUCUUGGUUUUCGUCCAAGCAAGCUCCAACUUAGCAGGAGGGAAGUAAUGUUUAACAAGUGGGCUGAGCGAGCUGCCUGCUUUUAUCUAAGGCAACAAACAAACAAGCCUGGUUUCACGGGAAGGUUCUCCCCGGAUGGUCUGAUCAGGGCUCCGUCUUUUGUGGCAACGGUAGUUGUGUGUUGUGGCUUAGCACCGCAGCCAGCAGAUGCAGGGAUGCUUAGAGCCAGUUCCGACAGGCUUGGCAGUGCUAGCGCACUGACUGUUCAGGUCUCAGGUUGGAGGUAAAAGACGGGGUUUUGCACGGCGUGGAACCCCGCAGAAUAUCUGGUAGGUAUGGCGUUUUAAGGAGCUUGAGCACGGGGUAGUUUUGUGUCCUGUAUCGAGUCUGGUCGUGUUGAUCCUGAGCAAAUAAACGGACCUGCAGAGCUGUCCAGAAUGGCUGCGUAAUACCUGCAGGCUCCACGAGGCCUCGUUAGCUUGCGUAAAGCACCACCCCGAGCAGAUGUGAGCAAACUUGGAUUUGUGUCAUGUGAAGAAGUUUUAAGCUUUGCGACAACCUAAAACGCUGCAAGGGGUAUGCAAAAUUUGGGAGUGGGGCUCUCCAUCUGUUGGUGACCACACUUCCUUAAAACUGACUGAGUGAUGUGCUGCAGAAUAACGGAGUUUGUGUUGGUGAAACUUGUUGAUGAGAGAUACGGAUAGUGUGACAGUGAGCUUCACAGUGCAGCGAGAUAAAAACGAUAAAUGAAAAAGCUGAAGCCUAGGUGGCAAGGUUGGUUUUGUCUUCUCGUGCUAAACUGGGUUGAUAACGUUGCAUUUUUCUGUAAAUAUGAAUAGGGAAGAGUUCACGGGAGAAAGAAAACAUGAGAAUUAUUAUGCAGGGUGGAUGUUACAGUUUGAAGAUGAUGUCUGUCCAGAAACAGAGUUGUGAUGUGUAUGAGGAGAGGCAGGAAAGUGUUCAUUCAGGUUCCCCAAGGAACAUGUAAUAUAUAACAUAGAUUGGACAGAGGCUUUUAUUUCCUACCUGCUUGUUCUCUUUUCCAAAAACAGGCUAGCUUCCCUGAAACGUUUGGCUUUAGUUACUGGCUUAAACGCAACUCAGUUGGCUCUGACAUCCUUGCCAAGUGUAAAUGAUGAGAUUAAAAAAAAAACAGUGCUGAAGGGGAACCCCAGGAGUGGUUAGCUUCAUGUGCACGCUUGAAGCAUUGCUGAAAUGUUCAUGAUGCUUACGUAUCCCAGACAGGUGAGAUUCAGACUUCAAAGAUGAAGAAGGAACCUGUGUCUUUUAUCUCAUAUUUUCACCAACUAAAAUAUACUUUUCAGAGAAGGAAUAGAAUGUUUAAAAGCACGUCAUAGUGAAAAUUAGAACAUUUUUGACCAGAUUUGGGUUGUUUUCUAAAGUAAAUGUCAAUGACUCGAAGAUACUUCCACGUUAAUAGGGAAUAGCUGUUCAUUUCCACGAAGUAGCUCAUACGUGCCCUUUUACCCCUCACUGUUAGAACAGUUUAGGUGUGAAAAGGAAAGGUGGAAUAGAGGCUCGCAGGGCAGCAAAUACAAGAGACAGUGUGAAGCUGUCUGCUCGGUGUGAAACUCGGGUCCUCUUUGUGUUGCACUGUUUUCCUGACUUGCUUUCUGGUGUAGUCAUUAUUAUUCACUGCUUGUGCUGCAGAUCCCCACUCAGUACACGUGGGAAAAAUACAGUCUCCUAGGUCUGAUUUAACAAGGAGUCACUGGUAUAACUCAGGGUUUAGCAGGAAGCAAACAGAUUUCUGUCUGGUGUUUUUUCAUUCAUUCCCUGGCCAAACUUUACUUGGUUUUUGAAAUAAGCUAUUCUGAGCCAGUGUUUACACCUGCCUUGAAUUGUCUUGAUUUGUUGUGGCUCCCGUUUGGUGUUUUAAGUGGAUGGCUGGUGUGAAAAGACACCUGAGUAUUUUGACCUUAAUGCUUUUGUACUCAAGAACGUACGCCUGUGUCUGAUCUUGUAUGAAUACUAACUUGUCUGCAUCUGAAUGAUUCAUGUCGUUGGAAAUAAAACAUCUAGUGGAGUGAGUA